GAACAAAAACAACUUCUUAUGGAUUUGGAUGUAGUAAUGCGGAGUAGUGAUUGCCCAUACAUUGUUCAGUUUUAUGGUGCACUCUUCAGAGAGGGUGACUGUUGGAUCUGUAUGGAACUCAUGUCUACCUCGUUUGAUAAGUUUUACAAAUAUGUAUAUAGUGUAUUAGAUGAUGUUAUUCCAGAAGAAAUUUUAGGCAAAAUCACUUUAGCAACUGUGAAAGCACUAAACCACUUAAAAGAAAACUUGAAAAUUAUUCACAGAGGUGGGUAUGGAUUGGUAUUUUUUGUAAUAGAAAUUAAGUUUUUUCUCCUAAUUGGUGAAACGGUUAUUGAAAAUUACAGUGUCACUGUAUAAACUUUCCUAAAAUAUUUGUAUUUUUAGCAAAAAAUGCUUUAUGUACUUUAAAACUCUAUUACUGCUAUUUUUUUCUUUGGGAUUCAAUAAAUUUCAGUCUAUCUUAGUAUGUUGGACUUAGAAACUGAAAUAGAUUUUGCUGCACGUUGUUAUUAUUAUUAGUUGAAAAAUAAUUAUUCAUUUGCCUGAUAGAUAAUGUUUUUCUGCAUACAAAUAAGGCAUCGAGGUGGUCCUGUGGACAUUCAAAGAAGAAUCUGAGGGAUAGUACCCUCAAGCAUUUUAAAGGCAUGCUAUCCC
rnacentral:sRNA from 1 species